rnacentral:rRNA from 1 species
AGAUUAAGUUAUUAAGGGCGCACGGUGGAUGCCUUGGCACUAGAAGCCGAUGAAGGACGUUACUAACGACGAUAUGCUUUGGGGAGCUGUAAGUAAGCUUUGAUCCAGAGAUUUCCGAAUGGGGAAACCCAGCAUGAGUUAUGUCAUGUUAUCGAUAUGUGAAUACAUAGCAUAUCAGAAGGCACACCCGGAGAACUGAAACAUCUUAGUACCCGGAGGAAGAGAAAGAAAAUUCGAUUCCCUUAGUAGCGGCGAGCGAAACGGGAAGAGCCCAAACCAACAAGCUUGCUUGUUGGGGUUGUAGGACACUCUAUACGGAGUUACAAAGGACGACAUUAGACGAAUCAUCUGGAAAGAUGAAUCAAAGAAGGUAAUAAUCCUGUAGUCGAAAAUGUUGUCUCUCUUGAGUGGAUCCUGAGUACGACGGAGCACGUGAAAUUCCGUCGGAAUCUGGGAGGACCAUCUCCUAAGGCUAAAUACUCUCUAGUGACCGAUAGUGAACCAGUACCGUGAGGGAAAGGUGAAAAGCACCCCGGAAGGGGAGUGAAAUAGAACCUGAAACCGUGUGCUUACAAGUAGUCAGAGCCCG